AACGAACGCUGGCGGCAUGCCUAACACAUGCAAGUCGAACGAAGCCUUCGGGCUUAGUGGCGCACGGGUGCGUAACGCGUGGGAAUCUGCCCCUUGCUUCGGAAUAACAGUUAGAAAUGACUGCUAAUACCGGAUGAAGUCUUCGGACCAAAGAUUUAUCGGCAAGGGAUGAGCCCGCGUAGGAUUAGGUAGUUGGUGGGGUAAAGGCCUACCAAGCCGACGAUCCUUAGCUGGUCUGAGAGGAUGAUCAGCCACACUGGGACUGAGACACGGCCCAGACUCCUACGGGAGGCAGCAGUAGGGAAUAUUGGAAAAUGGACGCAAGUCUGAACCAGCAAUGCCGCGUGAGUGAUGAAGGCCUUAGGGUUGUAAAGCUCUUUUACCAGGGAUGAUAAUGACAGUACCUGGAGAAUAAGCUCCGGCUAACUCCGUG
rnacentral:rRNA from 1 species